rnacentral:lncRNA from 1 species
AGUGGUGUCUCUCUUGAGGCCAUGCAAGAAAACCUUCUGUUUUUUGCAUCAAUCAACUAAGAUGCGAUUAUAUAUAUGAAUGCAAUCAUUUCCAAGUAAGAGAGUGUUUUUAGAUGGUUAAGUGUUUCUCUCUCUCUCGUCCAAUUGACGACUAUUAAAGAUAGUUAAAUCUUUACUUCUUUAACAACAUCAAUUUCUGAAUUUUGUCAUUGCCUUUUCUUUAAGGUGAAAUUAAAUCUUUUUAGAAUAAAAUAAAUCUUCAUUCAAAGGUAAAGGUAUUCCGCUACACCUUAUGAAAUGAACAGGUUAAUUAAUCUUAUGAUCUUCCUUGUUCUUCUGUUGACUGUAUCUAAAUAUAAGAAAAACUAUUAAUUAUUGGAGUUUCUAUAAUGUCUUUGAUUGAUCUCUCCAUUUCUUUUUUAAAUUAAACAACGAGUUCCCCAGAUAACCAAAACGCAAAAUAUAGACGUCUAAUUUACAAUUUCGAGAAAUAACUGCACUGUAAUUAAAAAUUUAGCUCUAAUACACAUUGGUGUGUGUUUGUCAGGCAACAAAAAACAAUGUAAAAUAAUAUAAGACAACGCACCUAGACUGUUUUUCCCUUGAAGAGUAGUAGUCAGCAAAUUUCAUGUUAUCUAAUUAGUACUAGUACUUUGAUCGAUGACAACAUCAACCUAAAACUAGUGGAAAUUCAGUCAGGUGGUGAAAAUCAAAUACCUACAAAAAUCUUUUUUAUUAUUGUUAUAAGUAGAAUUCUAUUUAAAGUGAAUAUCUAUAUUCUAAAGAGAUUUUAGAGUUUGUUACUAGAUGGCUAAGUCACUUUUCUCCUAUAAAUAUAGAGGUUCUAUUCCGUUGUAAUUCACCCCCAAAUCAAU